GGGGGUAGUGACAGUCCGAAGGAAUAUGCCAUUCUCCCAUUCCCGCAAUUUAGUGAAAUUAGAAUUUGGAUUUCGCUCUCCCAUUCUCGCAAUCUUUGUGAAACCAUCUCCCCCAAAAACCUCUCUCGACCCUAAUCUCCCUCUCUCGGUCAACGGUGGCCAUUUUUUCGCACUUCCCCCUAGCCUUUACGACAUUCUCCCUUUUGUGAUUUCAUCCACUCCUCAAUCGUGGAAGGAAAUUGACCCUAAGGAAGUUGGUUGGUGAGGUGAGGGUUUACAUUGUUGCUGGAAGGGGUUUCGUGACGGUGGUGUGGCAGCUUGAGGAGGGUGCUAUGGCGGCCUGAGUAGGGUUUGCACUAUCGCGACGCCGCCAAUCGAAGGGGUGCGUGACGGGAUCGUUGUCGCUGCGUGAGGAGGGGUUGAGGCACAGUUGUUGAAGGGCUGCAGUUGAAGUGAAGUGUCCAAGAUUUCAUCAUUUCCAGGAUGUGGAUGGUUUACGCUGCCAAGGACAUAGGUACUACACACCAUAGCUUAUGCCCUGUAACACUUUCAUACUCUUUAACAUACUGGAAAAUUAGAGUAUGCUCUGUUGGGUUAUAAUGAUUGGUUGGGUCUAAAGUGAACUUAAAGGUUUAAUUAGGUUAUGGGAGCUUGUAGACUAGAAUUGUGUUCAGAAAAUUACUUAGUCAUACAAACGUGGAACCUUAAAUAGUUUCUGACCCUCUGUUUUGAAUUCAAGCCCAAGUUAAAAUAACUAUUAAUGUAGUUAUCCAACUCCACUUCUAUGUAUGUAUAAUUCACGAAUAAUUUAACACCCAAACAGGUUUGAAUUGGCCAAAAUUAGUUUGAUGCAUACAUAUAAAGUGUAAGAAAACAGAGGUAAAAUCCAUUUAAACAAAUUUUGAAUGACUAAAGAAAGUUAUAAAUCAACUUAAAAAUUAUAAUCUUCAAGAAUUCAAUACUCAAAACCUACCAAAGCACUGUAAAAAUAGGCUAAACAAGGUAAAAGUAAGAACUAAACUAAAACAGAAAGAAACUUGUAAAGAAACUUCCUAAUAAAGUCUUAAAUGUCUAAAGAAAACUAAGAGCACUUCAAAAGUCACUAAUUCUAAGAGAUUCUAAAACUCACUAAAGAAAGCCUAAAAGUACACUCAAACUAGUAUAGAAAUGAGGACUACACUAAUUGCAGUGCACUGCAGCUUUGUAAACAAGUUUUAAAUGAUAAAAGCAAGUUAAGAAAUAACCUAAAACCUACCUCUCUACAAAAACUCAAAAAUUGACUAUUGAGAACCUAAAACUAUGCUAGAAAUCUCAAAUCAUGAAAAAUUCUCUAAACUAACAAAUGAAGUUGUAAUGUAACUAUCUAAACAUGUUUUAAAUGGUACAAGACUAUUGAAAACUAUGGUAACUAAUGAAAAUAGGAAAGAAAUCAAAAUCUGCUUAUGAAAAUCGGAAAGAUGCACUAGAAAGGUCAAAAGUUGCAAAUUGCACUAAAGUAACCUAAGAAUGUGCAAUGUUCUUAUCCUUACAAGAGUAAAGUAGUCAAAUGAAGCUAAGAAAGAUGUCAAAUUGUAUCAAGUAGCUAAAUAUCAAAAUUUGGCUACUUAAAACCUAAAAAGUGUACUAAAUAGGUGAAAAAAUGGGAAUUCACCUAAAGUAACCUAAGAAUGUACAAUCUUCAUAUCCUAACAACUUUAAAGUACUUAAAUGAAACUAAGAAACAUGUCAAUUUCAAAGUAGUACACAAAUCUCAAAAUUAAAGUACUUAAAACCUAAAAAGUGUUGUAAAUAGGUGACAAUUUCGAAAUUGACCUAAACUAACCUAACAAUGUGUAAUGUUCUUAGUCUAACAAGUUUAAAGAACUUAAAUGAAGCUAAGAAAGAUGUCAAAUUGUAUGAAGUAGCUAAAUAUCAAAAUUUGGGUACUUAAAACCUAAAAAAGUGUACUAAAAAGGUGAGAAAUUAGGAAUUCACCUAUGGUAACCUAAGAAUGUGUAUUCUACACAUCCUAACAAGUAUAAAGUUGUGAAAUGAAGCUAGGAAAAUACUCAAAAGCAAUAAACUACCUAAAACUCAAAGUUUGAGUAGUUAGAACCCAAAAAAGUGUACUAAAAGGGUGAGAAAAUGGCAAUUCACCUAAAGUAGACUAAGAAUAACUAAUGUUAAUAUUCUAACAAGUCUAAAGUAAUGAAAUGACACUAGGAAACUACUCAAAAGCAAACAAGUACCUAAAACUGAAAUUUUGGGUAGUUAGAACCUAAAAAAGUCUACUAAAAAGGUGAGAAAUUUGCAAUUCACCUAAAGUAGACUAAUUUUAACUAAUGUUAAUAUCCUAAUAAGUCUAAAUUAGUCAAGUGAAGAUAGGAAACUACUCAAAAGCAAACAAGUACCUAAAACUCAAAGUUUGAGUAGUUUCAACCUAAAAAGUUCACUUAAAAGGUGACAAAUUGCCAAUUCACCAAAAGUAGAGUAAUUUUAAGUAAUGUUAACAUCCUAACAAGUCUAAAGUAGUGAAAUGAUGGUAGGAAAGUGGUCAUAAGCAAAAAAUUUCCUAAAACUCAAAAUGACACUACUUAAAACCUUAAAAAAUGUAGUAAAAAGUACCUAAUUGAGUCAUUACAGGUCAAUUUUCGUUCUGCUGUGAUUUUGUGAUAUUUGGAAGUUUAAACAAGUCCAACUUGAUGUAUUAAAGCUGUUAGAACCAUUGAUAUGAAGUUAGAAUGACCUAUAUGCAAUUUAGUAUGUUAAACCAUCAUAUUUGAGCCAUUUUUGGAACUUGCAAAGUGAAUCUGAGUUGCAUUUCUAUUUUAUGCAUAAUUAGAGUUCAAAUAAGUGUAUUUUGAUGACUUAAAACUGUUAAAAUGAUUAGCAAAGUGUUAGAAUGGCUUAGGCACAAAAUCACUUUCAAAACCACCAAUUUUGAGUCAAUUUUGGGAAGUAGAAAGGUGAUUUUGAGUAGCAGUUUGGUUUUGAGUUAAAUUUGAGUUCUAACAAGUUUCAAUUCACCAAACAAAGUUGUUGAAUUGGUGAAAAGCAAAUAAUAACCUAAAACUCAAAGUUUGAGUAUUUAGAUUAUAAAAAGUGUACUUAUAAGGUGAGAAAUUGUCAAUUCACCUAAUAUAGUCAACAUCCUAACAAGUAUAAAGUAGUGAAAUGAACCUAAGAAACUAGUCAAAAGCAAAGGAUUAGGUAAAACUCAAAGUUUGAGUUGUUAGAACCUAAAAAAGUGGUUCCAAGUUGGUGAAAUGCUGUUGAAAAUCAAGCCAAAUUGCUACUUUUAGAGCUACUUCUUUGUCCAAUUCAGCAACCCUUCCAUUACCUAGUAUGCUACCCCCUUGGAGCAAGAAUUCUGGACCUUGGACGCCUCACCAAAACGUCACAACACCCCACCACACACUAAACCAGUCACAGCAAAAAUCUGCACUGCACUAGAUUUUAAUUUCAAGUAACAGACUUUGUAGCACAAUUUGAAGGCCAAACAAGUGGAUUUCAAAUGAUUUUAAGCCUUGAAUCAAUAGAGGGACACAAAAGGAACCUAGGAGAGGCACUAGAUCAGAUUAAGCACGCAAGAAAAGUAAAAAACAAAGAGCCAAAAUUAGUGCAGUAAGGUGUUUGAUAAAAAUGCAACUGUUUGAUGAAAGUCUCCAAAGAAGUGCAGAUUUUGUGAUUUUCGAUUUUUGGGGUUCAAAACUGGAUUGCUUGGUUUUCAAAUGAUUUUUAUGAUUGGAUUAUACUUUUUUGAUCAUAUAAUUCCAUUUUCAAACAUGUAACCAGCUCUUUCCAACCCAUAAUUGAAAUUUAAAGAAUGUACAAAAUUAAACACACUAAAAAUGAAAACUGCACCAGAAAAAUGGUUUUAAAAGUGUGCUUUCAAAUCCAAAAAUGAGUGGCAGUGUUUCUAAAGCUCAAGUGAUGAUUCAAGCAACUUUAUAUCAUCAAUUUAAAGGUGUUUAAACAUUGAAACAACAAGGAAUCACACUACACUCAAAAAUCACUAAUUCACUUCUAAAUUUAAGCAAAAUUGAUGGUUUAGGAAGUGAUUUUGCAUGUAGGCUCGAAUUUGACGAAAUGAACAGUGCACACAGGUUUGAAAUGGUAAAAUAAACUUGUUCAAACAUUCACAAUGGACAGAAACAACCAGAUGCUUCAAAUCACACUUGCUAUAGCCAAUUAUGCAGCAUUUUAAACCCAAAAUUAGCACUAGAAUUGAAAACACACACUGGAAUCAAAUUGUACAGCAUAAACAAAGCUAAAGGAAGUCCUAAUUCACCAUAUCUAGGUACAAAAUCUUAGCUAGGAGAUUUUAAAUGGCCUAAGACACAACAAAAUUCUGAUGCAGUUUUGGUGACAUUUUCAUACAUAUUUGUCUAUAGUAACUAUGAUUUGUUGAAUCUUGCUGUGUUUGUGCAUAUACAAUGUUUGAACAAGUUUAUUUUGCCAUUUUAAAGUUGUGUGCACUGUUGAAAUGAUCAUUUUUAUUCCUAUAUGUAGAAUCAUGUCUUAAACCAUCAAAAUUGGCUUUAAAAUGGAAGUGAACCAGUGAAUUCACAUUACAAUCUGUUUUCAAACUGUUUGAGUGUUUAAAUAUCUUUAAAAUGAUGAUAAAAUUCUGCAUUGCUGCAUUGCUGCAUCGUUGUAUUACUGUAUUGCUGUAUUGCUGUAAAAUUCUGCAUUGCUGUAAAUUCUGCAUAAAAUCUUUGCUGUUUUGGUGUAAAAUUCUACAAAAAUAGCUUACUAUUUUGUUGUAUAACCUGCAUAAAAAUCUGGUUGUUUUGAUGGUAUAUUCUGCAUAAAAAUCCUUGGCUAUUUGACCAUGUGGGAAGAGCAUCACAUUCUGCAGCAGCCAGCGCCCUGUUUUUUUUUUCGCCCUUCGGAAAUUACCGAAGGCUUUUGGCCCUCGGUAAUUACCGAAAGCUUUUGGCCCUCGGUAAUUACCGAAGGGCGAAAGCCCUCGGUAAAUGUUAGCGACAAGGGAUUUACCGAGGGCUCUUUGGCCGUCGAUAAGCCUUCGGUAAUUACCUUUUACCGACGGUUUUGGGCUGUUUCCGAGGGCUUCUGGCCUUCGGUAAUGCCCUUCUUUUUUGUAGUGAUUCUUCUUACAUAAUCUUUAAAUUAUAAUGGCUAAGAUGUGUAUUCUUUUGCACGUAAUCACUUUGGGCUAAUACGAGUAUUCUAUUGAAUUUCAAGUUAAGCCUGUUGGUAAAAAUGUUUUGAUUAUGAUUGAAGAAUGAUGAUGUUGAAUUUAGAGUUUUCACUUUCUUUGAAUAUUGUUUGACCCUGUAUUCACAAUAUCUUUUUAAUUUAGCACACAACCUAUACUAAAUGAAAUUGAAAGGAAAUGUUUUUAUAAAGUGAAAACUAAGUCUAAAAGGUUUUUCUACAUUUAUAAUUGAUUAAGUUUUCUUAUAAUUGAUAAAAAAAGAUGUUCCUAAAAGGUUUCAUGAUUGUGUAACUGAUUGUCUCUUUUGACAAUAUAUAUUAACCUAAAGAAUAGUUUAAAUGUUUUCAAUAUUCUCAUAACUAUAAUCUUUCAUAAUUGAUUAAAUGAACUAAUUGCAUUAAAUGAAGAAAAAAAUUAAUUAAUCAAACACCAUCCUUGAUAGAUUAAAAUAGAAAUAUUUCUAACUGUUUUUCAAAAUUUAAUUAGAAUAAUCAAUUAAAUGCUUGAUAUAAUCAAUUAAAAGCUUUAGUUCUUGUUUUAAACAAGUGCUUUCAGAACUCUAAAAAUAAAGAGUCAAUCUUAAUAUUUCAAAUAACUUUAACAAUCAUUGUGGGCAAAUUAUAUUGAGAUUGACAUAGUUGUUUCAUACUCACAAAAGUACUUUAAAGAUUUCAAUAAUAAACAGUUUCAAAAUCUAAAAUCCUUAUAAUUGCUUAUGUUGAAUUUUAGUAAACUCUUUCUUGUUGUUUUGUUGAAGUGUUUCUAAUGAUUGUUGUUGUAAUAAGAGUUUAUAAGAC